GCCUCAAUCAUAUGUUACACUUCUCUCUCUUUGUAUAGAGGCUAAGAGGCUCAAGCACUCUUCUUUUUCAUUUCAUCCUGAUGGCUUUCAAAGUCCAUUUCCCAACUCUUGCACUGGCCUUCCUUCUUCUUUUUGUCUUUCAGGUCUGUUGCUUUGAGGUAGUUGGUGGACCUGGGAAGGUUAUUGCAGAUGAUUCCAUCCCCAAAUGGUGGCAACGGCUGGGUUUUCCCCAUGCCUGAUUGCGGAAAAUUGUGUGGAGUGCGGUGUAGCAAGCACUCAAGGCCGAACUUGUGCAAAAGGGCGUGCGGCACGUGCUGCUUCAGGUGCAAGUGUGUACCACCAGGCACAUAUGGUAACCGGGAGGUGUGCGGAUCCUGCUACGUCAAUAUGACUACUCAUCAUAACAAGCCCAAAUGCCCUUAAAAUUAUAUAUAUAUAUAUAUAUAUAUUUCUCUUUGUUUUGUGUGUGUGUAUGUGUGUGUGUAUGUGUUUGCCUGUUGUUAAUUAUGUAAAUUUUGUCUUUGUUUUGUGUGUGUGUGUGUUUGCUGUUGUUAAUUAAAUAUGUGAAUAUUCUCUUAAGUAGAUGUUAUCUUACUUUACUUUUGUGCAUGUGGUGUGGUGUGUUGUGGUGAUCUAUAUAUGCUGCUGCUUGUUAGUACUCUGGCUUGUUUGUACU